UGAUGUGUGGCGCAAAUAGGUAGCGCGUUCGGCCGUUAACCGAAUGGUUUGCGGGUUCAAGUCCCGCCGCAUCAG
rnacentral:tRNA from 1 species